rnacentral:tRNA from 1 species
UGGGGUGUGAUACAGUGGUACAGCGUUGCCUAGCAUGCACAAGGCCCUGGAUUCAAUCCCCAGCACCACAC